rnacentral:rRNA from 1 species
GUGUCGCUUGGCCGCAUGCUUUUCAAGCAAGCUCGGGCGGCAGCGCGGGGGCAACCCUGGCUCCGAGCGGCGAACGGGUGAGUAAUAGAUAGGAACGUGUCCGGGAGUGGGGGAUAACUAUCCGAAAGGUUAGCUAAUACCGCAUAUUCUGUGCGCAGGAAAGCGGGGGACCUGAAAGGGCCUCGCGCUCGCGGAGUGGCCUAUCUCCGAUUAGCUAGUUGGUGAGGUAAAGGCUUACCAAGGCGACGAUCGGUAGCUGGUCUGAGAGGAUGAUCAGCCACACUGGGACUGAGACACGGCCCAGACUCCUACGGGAGGCAGCAGUGGGGAAUUUUGGACAAUGGGGGCAACCCUGAUCCAGCCAUGCCGCGUGCGGGAAGAACGCCUUCGGGUUGUAAACCGCUUUUAUUCGGGAAGAAGGAGUUCGGGCUAAUACCCUGGAUGACGGGACGGUACUGGUAUGAAUAAGCACCGGCUAACUACGUGCCAGCAGCCCGCGGUAAUACUUAAGGGUGCGAGCGUUAAUCGGAAUUACUGGGCCUUAAAACCUUGCGUUAAGCGGUUGGGCAAAAAUCCUCCUUGUAAAAACCCCC